rnacentral:lncRNA from 1 species
AGUGUGAGACGUGUAGCUAGGGCUGUGCACUCCACAGAGCUGGUGGGAGCUGGGAAUAGGUGAAAACCCUGCCUCCUUGUGAGUUGGCAGGACGGGAGCCUCCUGUUCCCUGGCUGCUGUUGUGGCCACCGAGCCGCAGCCCUGGAGCCAGGCAUCCCUGUGCUUGGGGAUCAGAGCGAGCAGGAGCAGAUCCUCUCCCUUCUGGGUGCAGCUGCAGCUGCCCAGCCAUGGCUGUGGUCCCGGAAGUCUCUGUGCUCUUGGGAGCUGGGAGGGCCCUCUGCCUCCUGCCCCUUACGCACUCCAGAGUCUCCUCUCUGUUGAGAGCUAAGCAGACAUCAGGACUACCAGCUGCAGAGAGGAGCUACCCACUGUGGGCUUCGUCUCUGCUGAGAGCUGAACACUCACUGGGACGCCCUGCCUAUGGAAACCAGCUGUUCACUCUGGGUCUCCUCUGAGCUGUUCUGUCGCUCAGUAAAGGUCUUCUUCUGCUUACUCGCCCUCCAUUUGUCUGCCUUACCUCAUUCAUCCUGGACACAGGACAAGAACUUGGGACUUGCCGGUAUGGUGGAGCUAAAAUAGCUGUAACACAAACAGGAUUGAAACAUGCCCCUUGCUCGCCACAUUGUGGAUGACAAGAGGGAGGGAAGAAAGGAGAGAAGAUCUGCGACCCUUCGGCAAACCCAGACUUAGGAGAUCGGAGAGCCAAGACUGUGACACCCUUUCUGGGGCUCUGUGGUUCCUGGCGUCUCCAAGCUUCUGGGCACCUCGGCUUUCCCCGGUGCCAGUCGUGGAAGCUGCUUGUGGCCUCCAUUUGCUGUUUGGGAAACUCUCUACGCUAUGAAUGUUAGCUGGCAGCAAACACUGCCUCCCACUACAGGGGCACACAGUGUUGGUGCCUGCUUUUCCACCCUCCACUUCCAACAGGAAGCAAGCACAGGACCCAAGCAUUGCAGACAGUUGUAUCACGCCAAUGUGCAUUCGGAGCCACUGACAGAGUCUUGCUUUGUCACCCAGGCUGGAGUACAGUGGCGUGAUCACAGCUUACUGAAACGUCUGCGUCUCAGGUUCAAGCGAUUUUUCUGCCUCAGCCUCUGGUGUAGCUGGAAUUACAGUGUUAGCAGUCACUGAUGCUCAAACAUGAGAAGACUGGGACAUCCAUCAGAUAAGAAACGCUGCCCAAAGUGUUAGACUAAUAAGUGACAGGGUUGGACAAUGAACCCAACCACUCAACCUUCCGGAAAAGUGCUGGAGAGGAUGUGGAGAAAUAGGAACACUUUUACACUGUUGGUGGGACUGUAAACUAGUUCAACCAUUGUGGAAGUCAGUGUGGCGAUUCCUCAGAGAUGUAGAACUAGAAAUACCAUUUGACCCAGCCAUCCCAUUACUGGGUAUGUACCCAAAGGAUUAUAAAUCAUGCUGCUAUAAAGACACAUACACACGUAUGUUUAUUGUGGCACUAUUCACAACAGCAAAGACAUGGAAUCAACCCAAAUGUCCAACAACGAUAGACUGGAUUAAGAAAAUGUGGCACAUAUACACCAUGGAAUACUAUGCAGCCAUAAAAAAUGAUGAGUUCAUGUCCUUUGUAGGGACAUGGAUGAAGCUAGGUGAAGCAAUUCCUUUCCUGAGGAAAAUAGAACUCACUCUGCUCUGGCUUGUAUGAGGAGGAAUAGGAUAUAAGCAGUUGAGGAAGAACGGUCCAUGAGUUGCCAUCCUUCCCUCUUCCUGCCUGCCAGAAGAGGUAGAGCCCACUGAAGAAGGAGCAGAAUAAGGAAUGGAAACCUUAGUUACAAGUCCAAGAAAUUCUACCCACUCUACUAUUUUUUUAUGUGUAACUUGAUUUAUAGUUUUUACUUUGAAAGAAUGUAACUAUUGUACAUGUUUCAUAAAGUAUCAAUAGCUGAAUAGA